rnacentral:rRNA from 1 species
CCUACGGGUGGCAGCAGUGAGGAAUAUUGGUCAAUGGGCGGGAGCCUGAACCAGCCAAGCCGCGUGAGGGAAGAAGGUACAGCGUAUCGUAAACCUCUUUUGUCAGGGAACAAAAGCUGGUACUAGUACCCGGAUGAGGGUACCUGAAGAAAAAGCAUCGGCUAACUCGGUGCCAGCAGCCGCGGUAAUACGGAGGAUGCGAGCGUUCUCCGGAUUUAUUGGGUUUAAAGGGUGCGCAGGCGGCCUGUUAAGUCAGCGGUAAAAGGCCGGGGCUAAACCCGGGCUAGCCGUUGAUACUGGCUGGCUGGAGUGUGAGAGAGGUAAGUGGAAUGCGCGGUGUAGCGGUGAAAGGCUUAGAUA